GACGAACGCUGGCGGCGCACAUAAGACAUGCAAGUCGAACGGACUUAACCAUUAGUUUACUAUUGGAGCGGUUAGUGGCGGACUGGUGAGUAACACGUAAGCAACCCGCCUAUCAGAGGGGAACAACAGUUAGAAAUGACUGCUAAUACCGCAUAAGACCACAGCACCGCAUGGUGCAGGGGUAAAAACUCCGGUGGUAUGAGAUGGACCCGCGUCUGAUUAGGUAGUUGGUGGGGUAACGGCCUACCAAGCCGACGAUCAGUAGCCGACCUGAGAGGGUGACCGGCCACAUUGGGACUGAGACACGGCUCAA
rnacentral:rRNA from 1 species